UACAGAGGGUGCAAGCGUUAAUCGGAAUUACUGGGCGUAAAGCGUGCGUAGACGGUUAUGUAAGUCAGGUGUGAAAGUCCCGGGCUCAACCUGGGAAUUGCAUUUGAGACUGCAUAGCUAGGGUGCGGAAGAGGGAAGCGGAAUUUCCGGUGUAGCGGUGAAAUGCGUAGAUAUCGGAAGGAACAUCAGUGGCGAAAGCGGCUUCCUGGUCCAGCACCGACGUUCAGGCACGAAAGCGUGGGGAGCAAACAGG
rnacentral:rRNA from 1 species